GACGAACGCUGGCGGCGUGCUUAACACAUGCAAGUCGAACGGAAAGGCCCUGCUUUUGUGGGGUGCUCGAGUGGCGAACGGGUGAGUAACACGUGAGUAACCUGCCCUUGACUUUGGGAUAACUUCAGGAAACUGGGGCUAAUACCGGAUAGGAGCUCCUGCUGCAUGGUGGGGGUUGGAAAGUUUCGGCGGUUGGGGAUGGACUCGCGGCUUAUCAGCUUGUUUGUGGGGUAGUGGCUUACCAAGGCUUUGACGGGUAGCCAGCCUGAGAGGGUGACCGGCCACAUUGGGACUGAGAUACGGCCCAGACUCCUACGGGAGGCAGCAGUGGGGAAUAUUGCACAAUGGGCGGAAGCCUGAUGCAGCAACGCCGCGUGCGGGAUGACGGCCUUCGGGUUGUAAACCGCUUUCGCCUGUGACGAAGCGUGAGUGACGGUAAUGGGUAAAGAAGCACCGGCUAACUACGUG
rnacentral:rRNA from 1 species